rnacentral:rRNA from 1 species
GACGAACGCUGGCGGCGUGCUUAACACAUGCAAGUCGAACGGAAAGGCCCUGCUUUUGUUGGGUGCUCGAGUGGCGCACGGGUGAGUAACACGUGAGUAACCUGCCCUUGACUUUGGGAUAACUUCAGGAAACUGGGGCUAAUACCGGAUAGGAUCUCCUGCUGCAUGGUGGGGGUUGGAAAGUUUCGGCGGUUGGGGAUGGACUCGCGGCUUCUCAGCUUGUUUGUGGGGUAGUGGCUUACCACGGCUUUGACGGGUAGCCGGCCUGAGAGGGUGACCGGCCACAUUGGGACUGAGAUACGGCGCAGACUCCUACGGGAGGCAGCAGGGGGGAAUAUUGCACAAUGGGCGGAAGCCUGAGGCAGAAACGCCGCGUGCGGGAUGACGGCCUUCGGGUGGUAAACCGCUGUCGCCUGUGACGAAGCGUGAGUGACGGUAAUGGGUAAAGAAGCACCGGCUAACUACGUG